rnacentral:rRNA from 1 species
CCCUUUCCGGUUGAUCCUGGCGGAGGUUACUGCUAUCGGUGUUCGCCUAAGCCAUGCGAGUCAUAUGUUCGUAAGAACAUGGCGUACUGCUCAGUAACACGUGGAUAACCUGCCCUUGGGUCCGGCAUAACCCCGGGAAACUGGGGAUAAUUCCGGAUAACGCACAUAUGCUGGAAUGCUUUAUGCGUAAAAUGGAUUCGUCUGCCCAAGGAUGGGUCUGCGGCCUAUCAGGUAGUAGUGGGUGUAAUGUACCUACUAGCCUACGACGGGUACGGGUUGUGAGAGCAAGAGCCCGGAGAUGGAUUCUGAGACAUGAAUCCAGGCCCUACGGGGCGCAGCAGGCGCGAAAACUUUACAAUGCGGGAAACCGUGAUAAGGGGACACCGAGUGCCAGCAUCCUAUGCUGGCUGUCCGGGUGUGUAAAAUACACCUGUUAGCAAGGGCCGGGCAAGACCGGUGCCAGCCGCCGCGGUAACACCGGCGGCCCGAGUGGUGAUCGUGAUUAUUGGGUCUAAAGGGUCCGUAGCCGGUUUGGUCAGUCCUCCGGGAAAUCUGACAGCUUAACUGUUAGGCUUUCGGAGGAUACUGCCAGACUUGGAACCGGGAGAGGUAAGAGGUACUACAGGGGUAGGAGUGAAAUCUUGUAAUCCCUGUGGGACCACCUGUGGCGAAGGCGUCUUACCAGAACGGGUUCGACGGUGAGGGACGAAAGCUGGGGGCACGAACCGGAUUAGAUACCCGGGUAGUCCCAGCCGUAAACGAUGCUCGCUAGGUGUCAGGCAUGGCGCGACCGUGUCUGGUGCCGCAGGGAAGCCGUGAAGCGAGCCACCUGGGAAGUACGGCCGCAAGGCUGAAACUUAAAGGAAUUGGCGGGGGAGCACAACAACGGGUGGAGCCUGCGGUUUAAUUGGACUCAACGCCGGACAACUCACCGGGGGCGACAGCAAAAUGUAGGCCAGGCUGAAGACCUUGCCUGAAUCGCUGAGAGGAGGUGCAUGGCCGUCGCCAGUUCGUACUGUGAAGCAUCCUGUUAAGUCAGGCAACGAGCGAGACCCAAAGG